CUACGGGGUGCUGCAGUGAGGAAUAUUGCACAAUGGGGGGAACCCUGAUGCAGCAACGCCGCGUGGAGGAUGACGCAUUUCGGUGUGUAAACUCCUUUUAUAUGUCAAGAAAACGACGGUAGCAUAUGAAUAAGCACCGGCUAACUCCGUGCCAGCAGCCGCGGUAAUACGGGAGGGUGCAAGCGUUACUCGGAAUCACUGGGCGUAAAGGACGCGUAGGCGGGUUGGAAAGUCAGGUGUGAAAUCCUACAGCUUAACUGUAGAACUGCACUUGAAACUUCUAAUCUAGAGUAUGGGAGGGGGAGAUGGAAUUAGUGGUGUAGGGGUAAAAUCCGUAGAUAUCACUAGGAAUACCUAAAGCGAAGGCGAUCUCCUGGAACAUUACUGACGCUAAGGCGUGAAAGCGUGGGGAGCAAACAGGAUUAGAUACCCCAGUAGUC
rnacentral:rRNA from 1 species